GAGCUUGAGAGAGAGUGAAGAAAAGGAAGGAAUCAGUGGAAAAGUCAUAAACAGGGUGAAUUACAUCUGCUCUGCUUUUCUUAGUCAACAAUGUGCAUGAUUGCGACAGCUUCACGAGUGAGACUUUUGGGGUAUACGACACUCUGCUCCAUGAUGGACUGAAACAACUCCUCCUCGUCAAUACCAUCAAACGGUGGCUGGAAGGGAAAGACAGAGAGAGAAGAAAAAAGAGAGAUUAACCACGAGGACCUGUGAACAAAUUGAAAGCAAAUAUAUUGAAAUUAAAGUUCUCUUGAAAGUC